rnacentral:rRNA from 1 species
AGAGUUUGAUCCUGGCUCAGAAUCAACGCUGGCGGCGUGCCUAACACAUGCAAGUCGAACGAGAAAGCGGGGGCAACUCCGUUAGUAAAGUGGCAGACGGGUGAGUAACACGUGAACAAUCUACCUUCGAGUGGGGAAUAACCCCGCGAAAGCGGGGCUAAUACCACAUAGCAUCCUCGGGUCACAUGGCUUGGGGAUAAAAGGCGAAAGUCGCUUAAGGAGGGGUUCGCGGCUGAUUAGCUAGUUGGUGAGGUAACGGCCCACCAAGGCAACGAUCAGUAGCCGGCCUGAGAGGGCGAACGGCCACACUGGAACUGAGACACGGUCCAGACUCCUACGGGAGGCAGCAGUGGGGAAUUUUGCGCAAUGGGCGAAAGCCUGACGCAGCAACGCCGCGUGGAGGAUGAAGGCCUUCGGGUCGUAAACUCCUGUCAGUGGGGACGAAUGCUUCGCAAGAAGUUUGACUGUACCCGCUGAGGAAGCCACGGCUAACUCCGUGCCAGCAGCCGCGGUAAUACGGAGGUGGCAAGCGUUGUUCGGAAUUACUGGGCGUAAAGGGCGCGUAGGCGGCUUUGCAAGUCAGAUGUGAAAGCCCCGGGCUUAACUCGGGAAUUGCAUCUGAAACUGCUUUGCUUGAGUCCUGGAGGGGGUAGUGGAAUUCCCAGUGUAGCGGUGAAAUGCGUAGAUAUUGGGAGGAACACCUGCGGCGAAGGCGGCUACCUGGACAGUGACUGACGCUGAGGCGCGAAAGCUAGGGGAGCAAACGGGAUUAGAUACCCCGGUAGUCCUAGCCGUAAACGAUGGGCACUAGGUGUGGGAGGUAUCGACCCCUUCCGUGCCGCAGCUAACGCAUUAAGUGCCCCGCCU